rnacentral:ncRNA from 2 species
UUCCGUAGGUGGACCUGCGGAAGGA